GAUGAACGCUGGCGGCGUGCUUAACACAUGCAAGUCGAACGGAGUUUACUUAACAGAUUUCUUCGGAAUGAUGUUUUUUAAACUUAGUGGCGGACGGGUGAGUAACGCGUGGGUAACCUGCCUUACACAGGGGGAUAGCAGUUGGAAACGACUGGUAAUACCGCAUACCUUACAUUAUUCGCAUGUUUGAUGUAAGAAAGAUUUUAUCGGUGUAAGAUGGACCCGCGUCUGAUUAGCUAGUUGGUGUGGUAACGGCAUACCAAGGCGACGAUCAGUAGCCGGCCUGAGAGGGUGAACGGCCACAUUGGGACUGAGAUACGGCCCAGACUCCUACGGGAGGCAGCAGUGGGGAAUAUUGCACAAUGGAGGCAACUCUGAUGCAGCGACGCCGCGUGAGUGAAGAAGUAUUUCGGUAUGUAAAGCUCUAUCAGUAGGGAAGAUAAUGACGGUAC
rnacentral:rRNA from 1 species